rnacentral:rRNA from 1 species
AGUGAACGCUGGCGGUAGGCCUAAUACAUGCAAGUCGAACGGACACACAGUAAGCUUUCGCCCCUACCGGUGGCGGCUGACGGGCGGGUAACACGUACAUAGGCUUCCUAUUAUUCUUGGGGGACUUCGUAAGGCCACUUCUGCUACUACCGCAUAUGUUGUACGGCUGAAUUCAGGAGUUCUUCGCACUUUUCCUGUCUCUUAUAGCCGAUGUCGGAUUAGCUAGUUGGCGUGGUAAGGGCACACCAAGGCGACGAUGCGUAGCUGGUCUGAGAGGGUGAUCAGCCACACUGGAACUGAGACACGGUCCAGACUCCUACGGGAGGCAGCAGUAGGGAAUAUUCCGCAAUGGGCGCAAGCCUGAUCCAGCAAUACCGCGUGAGUGAUGAAGGCCUUCGGAUUGUAAAGCCCUGUUAUUAGGAAAGAAAAACUGUGGAAGUAUACCCGGAUGUCCUGACGGUACCCAAAGAGAAAGCACCGGCUAACUACGUG